UACGUAGGGUCCGAGCGUUGUCCGGAAUUACUGGGCGUAAAGAGCUCGUAGGUGGUUUGUCGCGUUGUUCGUGAAAACUCACAGCUCAACUGUGGGCGUGCGGGCGAUACGGGCAGACUAGAGUACUGCAGGGGAGACUGGAAUUCCUGGUGUAGCGGUGGAAUGCGCAGAUAUCAGGAGGAACACCGGUGGCGAAGGCGGGUCUCUGGGCAUUACCUGACGCUGAGGAGCGAAAGUGUGGGGAGCGAACAGG
rnacentral:rRNA from 1 species